rnacentral:tRNA from 1 species
AAUAAGGUGACUGAUUUAUAAGUGGUAAAUUGUAAAUUUAUUUAUGGUGGUUUCACCUCUUAUUA